UAGGGAAUCUUCCGCAAUGGACGCAAGUCUGACGGAGCAACGCCGCGUGAGUGAAGAAGGAUUUCGGUUCGUAAAACUCUGUUGUUAGAGAAGAACAGCGCAUAGAGUAACUGUUAUGCGUGUGACGGUAUCUAACCAGAAAGCCACGGCUAACUACGUGCCAGCAGCCGCGGUAAUACGUAGGUGGCAAGCGUUGUCCGGAUUUAUUGGGCGUAAAGCGAGCGCAGGCGGUCAAUUAAGUCUGAUGUGAAAGCCCCCGGCUCAACCGGGGAGGGUCAUUGGAAACUGGUUGACUUGAGUGCAGAAGAGGAGAGUGGAAUUCCAUGUGUAGCGGUGAAAUGCGUAGAUAUAUGGAGGAAAACCAGUGGCGAAGGCGACUCUCUGGUCUGUAACUGACGCUGAGGCUCGAAAGCGUGGGUAGCAAACAGG
rnacentral:rRNA from 1 species